rnacentral:rRNA from 1 species
AGCGGUGGAGCAUGUGGUUUAAUUCGAAGCAACGCGAAGAACCUUACCAGGUCUUGACAUCCUUUGACCACUCUGGAGACAGAGCUUUCCCUUCGGGGACAAAGUGACAGGUGGUGCAUGGUUGUCGUCAGCUCGUGUCGUGAGAUGUUGGGUUAAGUCCCGCAACGAGCGCAACCCUUGAUUUUAGUUGCCAGCAUUUAGUUGGGCACUCUAAAGUGACUGCCGGUGCAAGCCGGAGGAAGGUGGGGAUGACGUCAAAUCAUCAUGCCCCUUAUGACCUGGGCUACACACGUGCUACAAUGGAUAGUACAAAGGGUCGCGAAGCCGCGAGGUGGAGCUAAUCCCAUAAAACUAUUCUCAGUUCGGAUUGUAGGCUGCAACUCGCCUACAUGAAGCCGGAAUCGCUAGUAAUCGUGGAUCAGCAUGCCACGGUGAAUACGUUCCCGGGCCUUGUACACACCGCCCGUCACACCACGAGAGUUUGUAACACCCGAAGUCGGUAGGGUAACCUUUAUGGAGCCAGCCGCCGAAGGUGGGACAGAUAAUUGGGGUGAAGUCGUAACAAGGUAGCCGUAUCGGAAGGUGCGGCUGGAUCACCUCCUUUCUAAGGAA